rnacentral:rRNA from 1 species
GUCCUGGCCUUAAACGAUGAAUGUUUGGUGUCUGGGGUUAUAAAGUCCCCGGGUGCCGUCGCUAACGCUUUAAGCAUUCCGCCUGGGGAGUACGGUCGCAAGACUGAAACUCAAAGGAAUUGACGGGGACCCGCACAAGCGGUGGAGCAUGUGGUUUAAUUCGACGCAACGCGAAGAACCUUACCUGGGCUAGAAUGCCCCUGACAACCCUAGAGAUAGGGCCUUCUGGGUAAAACCAGACAGGGUGCAAGGUGCUGCAUGGCUGUCGU